CCUACGGGUGGCAGCAGUGGGGAAUAUUGGGCAAUGGAGGAAAGUCUGACCCAGCAACGCCGCGUGAAGGAUGAAGGUCUUCGGAUUGUAAAGUUCUUUUCUAAGGGAAGAAGAAAGUGACGGUACCUUAUGAAUAAGGAUCGGCUAACUCCGUGCCAGCAGCCGCGGUAAUACGUAGGGUGCGAGCGUUAUCCGGAUUUAUUGGGUGUAAAGGGUGCGUAGGCGGCCUUGUAAGUCAGCUGUGAAAGUCUGGGGCUCAACCAUGGAAUUGCCGUGGAAACUGGGGGGCUUGAGUGUCGGUGAGGUAGGCGGAAUGCGUGGUGUAGCGGUGAAAUGCUUAGAUAUCAGGCAGAACCCCGGUUGCGAAGGCGGCCUGCUAGGCCAUGACUGACGCUGAUGCACGAAAGCGUGGGGAUCAAACAGGAUUAGAUACCCCGGUAGUC
rnacentral:rRNA from 1 species